AACGUAGGACACAAGCGUUAUCCGGAGUUACUGGGCGUAAAGGGCGUGUAGGCGGACCUAUAAGUCUAUUCUGAAAGCUCCUGGCUAAACUGGGAGAGGCGAAUGGAGACUGUAGAUCUAGAGUGAGGAAGAGGAAAGUGGAAUUCCGCGUGUAGUGGUGAAAUGCGUAGAGAUGCGGAAGGAACACCAGUGGCGAAAGCGACUUUCUGGUCCUUAACUGACGCUGAGGCGCGAAAAGCAUGGGGGAGCGAACGGGG
rnacentral:rRNA from 1 species